rnacentral:rRNA from 1 species
UAUUACAAUGAAGAGUUUGAUCCUGGCUCAGGAUGAACGCUAGCUACAGGCUUAACACAUGCAAGUCGAGGGGCAGCAUGGUCUUAGCUUGCUAAGGCCG